rnacentral:rRNA from 1 species
GACGAACGCUGGCGGCGUGCUUAACACAUGCAAGUCGAACGGAAAGGCCUCUUUCGGGGGGUACUCGAGUGGCGAACGCGUGAGUAACACGUGAGUAACCUGCCCUUUACUUUGGGAUAACUUCAGGAAACUGGGGCUAAUACCGGAUAGGAGCUCCUGUUGCAUGUUGGGGGUUGGAAAGUUUCGGCGGUUGGGGGUGGACUCGCGGCUUAUCAGCUUGUUGGUGGGGUAGUGGCUUACCAAGGCUUUGACGGGUAGCCGGCCUGAGAGGGUGAACGGCCACAUUGGGACUGGGAGACGGCCCAGACUCCUACGGGAGGCAACAGUGGGGAAGAUUGGACAAGGGGUGGAAGGCGGAUGCAGGAAAGCCGGGUGCGGGAUGGCGGCCUUCGGGUUGUAAACCGCUUUCGCUCAUGACGAAGCUUUGUGUGACGGUAGUGGGUAAAGAAGCACCGGCUAACUACGUG